rnacentral:rRNA from 1 species
GACGAACGCUGGCGGCGUGCUUAACACAUGCAAGUCGAACGGAAAGGCCCUGCUUUUGUGGGGUGCUCGAGUGGCGAACGGGUGAGUAACACGUGAGUAACCUGCCCUUGACUUUGGGAUAACUUCAGGAAACUGGGGCUAAUACCGGAUAGGAGCUCCUGCUGCAUGGUGGGGGUUGGAAAGUUUCGGCGGUUGGGGAUGGACUCGCGGCUUAUCAGCUUGUUGGUGGGGUAGUGGCUUACCAAGGCUUUGACGGGUAGCCGGCCUGAGAGGGUGACCGGCCCCAUGGGGACUGGGAUACGGCCCAGACCCCUACGGGGGGAAGGAGUGGGGAAUUUUGCACAAUGGGGGGAAGCCUGAUGCAGCAACGCCGCGGGGGGGAGGGCGGCCUUGGGGUUGUAAACCGCUUUCGCCUGUGACGAAGCGGGAGUGGCGGUAAUGGGAAAAGAAGCCCCGGCUAACUACGU